ACCAUUUUGGCGAGUAAGGGCAUAAAAUUUAGAAUUUUGAAGUGGGUUCAGCAAAUGGUG
rnacentral:tRNA from 1 species